ACGUACACUCCUGCGGGAGGCAGCAGUGGGGAAUAUUGCACAAUGGGCGCAAGCCUGAUGCAGCCAUGCCGCGUGUGUGAAGAAGGCCUUCGGGUUGUAAAGCACUUUCAGCGGGGAGGAAGGCGAUACGGUUAAUAACCGUGUUGAUUGACGUUACCCGCAGAAGAAGCACCGGCUAACUCCGUGCCAGCAGCCGCGGUAAUACGGAGGGUGCAAGCGUUAAUCGGAAUUACUGGGCGUAAAGCGCACGCAGGCGGUCUGUCAAGUCGGAUGUGAAAUCCCCGGGCUGAACCUGGGAACUGCAUUCGAAACUGGCCGGCUUGAGUCUUGUAGAGGGGGGUAGAAUUCCAGGUGUAGCGGUGAAAUGCGUAGAGAUCUGGAGGAAUACCGGUGGCGAAGGCGGCCCCCUGGACAAAGACUGACGCUCAGGUGCGAAAGCGUGGGGAGCAAACAGGAUUAGAAACCCGAGUAGUCCCAUGAU
rnacentral:rRNA from 1 species